GAUGAACGCUGGCGGCGUGCCUAAUACAUGCAAGUCGAGCGAACGGACGAGAAGCUUGCUUCUCUGAUGUUAGCGGCGGACGUGUGAGUAACACGUGGAUAACCUACCUAUAUUACUGGUAUAACUUCGGGAAACCGGAGCUAAUACCGGAUAAUAUUUUGAACCUCAUGGUUCUAAAGUGAAAGACGUUCUUUCUUUCUCUUAUAGAUGGAUCCGCGCUGCAUUAUCUAGUUGUUAAGGUAACGGCUUACCAAGGCAACGAUGCAUAGCCGACCUGAGAGGGUGAUCGGAAAAACUGGAACGGAGACACGGACAAGAAGAAUACGGGAGGCAGCAGUAGGGAAUAGUACGCAAUGGGAGAAAGAAUGACGGAGCAACGCCGCGUGAGAGAUGAAGGUCUUAGGAUCGUAAAACUCUGUUAUUAGGGAAGAACAUAUGUGUAAGUAAAUGUGCACAUAUUGACGGUACCUAAUCAGAAAGCCACGGCUAACUACGUG
rnacentral:rRNA from 1 species